AAUUUAUAACGGAAGUUUAAUGUUAAUUAUAUAACUUGUUGAUCAUGGUCAACCCAUCGUGCUACAAUUGUUAUGUAUCGUAUUUUGCGUGUUAAGGAGUCGUUAUUGUUGUAUUAUUUGUUGCUGUUGCUUAUUGGUUUUAUAAAGAGAAUCCAUUUCCUCAACAAAAGUCCCUCUCUCACCUGUUGGCAAAAUUAUAUCAAUUCGGAAGUGUUUCAACCUUGGCAAUCAAUUAACUGUAACCAGACACAAUGAUUUAUCAAUCCAUAAUUAUUCUUUAAUUCUGAUGAAGACAAGUGGACACUUAUCAACAUAUCAAACCUUCAUUUUAUACCUAUUUCUAAUGGAUUGCUAAUUAGUGUUUGUGUCAAUUUGCUGUUAAUUGACAUUCAAGAUGAAAUAAGGAACACAAUUUUCGAGUUUUAACUGAUGUUUUUUUGCUGAUUGGUUUUUGGGGAAGCAGCAAAGGAUAAACAAGGAUGGAGGUCAAGAAAGCCAACAGACAAAAAGGCAAUGAGCAAAUCAUUGAGUCAAUCUCAACUGGUUAUUUCGUCAACAACGGAUGUUUCUUUGAAAAUUGUAAACUAUUGGCCUGACCAAUUUGGUCACAUGAAGGGUUCAAUUAGUUAACUGAUCUCGACAACUUCAAGUCAAACUGUCAAUCUGAUAUCUUUGCCAGUUGAAUAUGUUAUCUCGCCGCUGAUAAUCAUCUUUCUCAUCUUUAACUUCUUACUAUGGAAGUGUUAUUCCAACCAAACAUUUCUGACAAAACGAUUUAGUAAAUAUGGUCUGAUUUUUACCAUACGGCUAAUCGGUAUUUCCAAUGUGUUAAUCACACCAUUUAGCCAACGAUCACUAAGAAAUUAUUCAACCCGAGUUUGUCACCAGUUAUCAUCACACUAUUUUCAACUAAUCACUAUUUGCCACAAUAUUGUGUGAUUUAUUUGGCAUUCUCAUUUCGAUUCAUAGAACAGACAAGCUUAUUCCUCCAUCACUGACUUAUUUCAAGUUCAAAUUAAUCUGUUUACUGUUAAUCCGAAGAUUUAAAAACUGCUGGAAAUUUGUUUUCGAGGAUAACUCUUGUUUACAUGUAAUACAAGUAUCUCUUAAGAGUACAAAUGACUCUGAUAUGAUGAUAUAAGGCACAGCAUUCCAUAAAUCAAGUUAAUUUGUUUAACUUUAAGAUGACAACAAUAGAAACUAAAUCAGAGACGAUUGGAAACAAUUUCAAAGCAAUUUAGCAAUGACUGAUUAAGUUAUCUCAUCCAUUGGUUUACAUAAAUCUGUCAACGUUUCAUAAUUUGCAAAUGGAUUGUUCAAACAACUAACCAAAUUGGUACUGGAGGCAUCAGUAGCUAAAACAACAGCUAAAGGAGAAAAAAAGGAAUAACGGAAAUGUACGUUCAAUGUGGAAAGUUCAAAGAAAAGGCCGAAUGUUUAAGAUCUUGGAGAUUUUGCGAGUUUGUUGAUUUGAAAAAUUGUUUAAUUUUGGCAGUUUCUCUUUCCCUACAUAACUUGAACACUGUUAAACCUCGCCCAUGAUCGUCUAUCACUUGUCGGUACCAUAUGUGCGCCUAUCAUCAUUUUUUUGUGUCCUUCAUCGACAAUCUUCAAGCCCAUUAAUUUGCAAUCAAAGAUUAUCACGAAUAACCAAUUAAAUUCAUAAAUGGCACAAAAUCUGAAACAUUAUCAAUAACUAGACAUUUAAUAGUCAUCCAGAUCAACUAAAUUAUUUAGUUAAAUCAUAAUCAAUAUCCAGGACUGUUCAAUGACGUGACUAACCAAUAUUUCAAGAAAAUAGUCGAUUGUUCAAUGAAAUCAAUGAAAUGCAAGCUGUCGUAACAAUUUGAUUGAAGAUGAAAACUGUUUACUCAAAUUUGGAUGCCUCUAAUUGAGGGGUAAAUAUUGUGAGAUUUUUUCCCGUUAAUUAGACUAUGAGGUCUUUUUUUCUAGGAAAAAAGUGCCCAAUGGAAACACGUGUUAACAAGAUGAUGUGAAAAAAAAGGAAAGCAACUAUUGAAACCAAAAGAUGUAGACAAAAAGACAGUGGAAAGGAAAGUACUUUAGACCCGGGAAACUUUUGGUGUCAACAUUUUUGUUUUCAUUUCUCCUUCUUUCUCUCUCUCACUCUCUCUAUUUCCCAUCACUUUGGCCAUAUUUAACAAACUGUACACCAAUGGAUAGGUUCAUUUGUUACUACUUUUUAUGAAAUCACAGUUGACACACCAAAGUUGCUAAAACUCUAGACUUCGUGUCAGUUUCAAUACAUUAACACUAAUCUUAUUGAUUGUUAUUAUCACCAAUUAUGGAGCUUCUUCAGGAAUUCAACAAUCUUCGUGAUUCACUUCCAAUCACCGCUGCUCUUCCAGAUGAAUCUGUGGACAAGGUUGAUAUUGUAAACCAAGCCAUUUUGCAGAUAAUUUUUCUCGAAGAUCUCAUCAAAAAAAGAUACCUUUUAAAUCUGCAGACGCAAUUCAAUCGAAGGCGCUGUUCGCGGUUGCGAAGAAUCAAAGUUAAUCAUUAAGUCACUUUUUUAAAUUUCAUCAAGUUUAAUCAGUCAAUCACUCAAUAUUAAUCAAUUCAAAAAUGAAUAAUUGAAAAAAAUGUGUAAAAUGUUUAAGUAUCUUUUGUAUUUUUGAAUAAAGCUAUAAUUUAAACAAUUA